UACGUAGGGCGCAAGCGUUGUCCGGAAUUAUUGGGCGUAAAGAGCUCGUAGGCGGUCUGUCGCGUCGGUUGUGAAAGCCCACAGCUUAACUGUGGGUCUGCAUCCGAUACGGGCAGACUAGAGGCAGGUAGGGGAGCAUGGAAUUCCCGGUGUAGCGGUGAAAUGCGCAGAUAUCGGGAGGAACACCGGUGGCGAAGGCGGUGCUCUGGGCCUGUACUGACGCUGAGGAGCGAAAGCGUGGGGAGCGAACAGG
rnacentral:rRNA from 2 species